GCUUGCCGAACAGGUCUAAACCAGUCUCCUGUCUGAGCAAUCCCUCUCAACUGCUGCCGUCUUUUGUCUUGUGACCUACGAGUGCCAUCCUCCCUGAACCCCAGCCAGACUCUGUGGAUUCCGUGGCAAGGAAUUUAAAAAAUCUAAUGCCAGUCAGAGUAAGUUUCUUCCAGAUUAUCUGGUGUUCCUGCCAGCUACCCACGUGCUCAGGAUAUCUGUCACAGGCCCAGUGAAUCCCAUAUCCAGUGUGUUCCUGAGUCAGUCCAUACCCAGUGUGUUCCUGAGUCUCACUGCCCUCGCUGGACUCCUGGAACCUUUGCAUCCAAGCUUUUCUCAGAUGCCCACUCGAGUCAGUUUAUAAAAUCAUAAGGAAGAUGACAUCCCAUGGCUGCGCAUAGCCUCAGGAACCUGCUCAGUGACUACUGCCCAAGUAUUUCCCAGUGUGGCCUCUGGUGGCCCAAGUGACCCUUGGUGACAUAAUGCAUUCAGAAAGGAGCUUGUCCUUUAAAUGGAAGCAGAAAGAGUAUUUAUACUGAGAUGAAGCAGUGAGGACUGGUAAGAAUAAGUCCACAGUGAUGCUGGGACACUUGGUGCUUCACAACUCAUCCUAAUCAGUGCCUUGGACUCCCGACCAGUGUGUACCCCUCACAGGCAUAGAAGAGAGAACAUUCUCCCUGGAUCAAAGCCAUGCUUCCAUAGUGUUCCACUUUACUUAGGAGACGUGAGAGGAGCAGGACUGAGCCAGUGACCUGGGUGAGAGCAGGCCUGAGGCAGCAACCUGGGCCAGAGUGGGCCUGGACCCUAGAAGCACUAAGUGACUUCCAGGAACACGGAGUGACCAACUGGGUAACUGGAACUGUGACACUGACUGCACCAUGAGGAGCAACCAUCUGAGUCCGGCACCUGGAAGAUUAAUCGCCAGAGUCACAGACAGAUCCAACUACACCAAUUAGAGGAAAAGAAGGGUAGACAAGGUAAGAACACAACACCACAAAGAGCAACAUGAUACCAGUAAAAUCCAAUGACCCUACAACAGCAAGACUUGAACAACCAAAUAUAGAUGAAGCAGAAGAAAAUAACCUAAAAAAAAUAACUUCAGGAGAAUGAGACCCUUAAAGAGGAAACGAGACGUUCCCUCAAAGAGAUGGAGGAAAAGACAAACAAAAAAUUGGAAGACAUCAGCAAAUCCCUUAAAGAAAAUCAUGAAAAAGCAAUCAAACAUAUGAAAGAAACAUUCAAAACUUGAAAGCUGAAAUAAAGACAAUAAAGAAAACACAAGCUAAUGGAAUUAUAGAAACAGAAACCAUGAGGAAACGAUCAGGAACCACAAAUACAAGCAUAAACAGCAGAAUACAAGAGAUGGAAGCAAGAAUCUCAAGCACUAAAGACACGAUAGAGUAAAUAGACUCCAGUCAAAGAAAACAUUAAAUCUAACAAAAGCUUAACACAAAAUAUGUAGGAAAUAUGGGACACCAUGGAAAGACCAAACCUAAGAAUAAUUGGCAUAGAAGGAGAAGUAGUUCUACUCAAAAGCACAGAAAAUGUAUUUAACAAAAUUAUAGAAGAAAAAUUUCCCAACCUAAAGAAAGAUACAAGAAGCUUACAUUUGGAUCAAAACAAAAACAAAAAAACAAGUCCUCUUGCCACAUAAUAAUCAAAACACUAAACUUUCAGAAUAAAGAAAGAAUAUUAAGAGCUACAAAGGAAAAAGGCCAAGUAACAUAUAAGGCAGACCUAUCAGAAUUACACCUGACUUCUCAAUGGAGACAAUGAAAGCCAGAAGUCCUGGUGAAAUAUUAUACAGACAUUAAGAGACCACGGAUGCCAUCCCAAACUGCUAUGUCCAGCAAUACUUUCAAUCACCAUUGAAAGACAAAACAAGUUAUUCCAUGACAAAACAAGAUUUAACUAAUACCUAGUCACAAGCCCAGCCCUACACAAAGUACUAGAAGGAAAACUCCAACACAAGGAAGUUAAUUAUAUCAACAACAACAAAAAAAAAAAAAAAACAGACAA